UACGGAGGGUGCAAGCGUUGCUCGGAAUUACUGGGCGUAGAGCGCGUGUAGGCGGUCAAAGAAGUCUGGUGUGAAAUCCCUCGGCUUAACCGAGGAAGUGCGCCGGAAACCAUUUGACUAGAGAAUCGGAGGGGAGCGUGGAAUUCCCAGUGUAGAGGUGAAAUUCGUAGAUAUUGGGAGGAACACCGGUGGCGAAGGCGACGCUCUGGACGAUUUCUGACGCUGAGACGCGACAGCGUGGGUAGCAAAC
rnacentral:rRNA from 1 species